GAUGAACGCUGGCGGCGUGCCUAAUACAUGCAAGUCGAGCGAACGGACGAGAAGCUUGCUUCUCUGAUGUUAGCGGCGGACGGGUGAGUAACACGUGGAUAACCUACCUAUAAGACUGGGAUAACUUCGGGAAACCGGAGCUAAUACCGGAUAAUAUUUUGAACCGCAUGGUUCAAAAGUGAAAGACGGUCUUGCUGUCACUUAUAGAUGGAUCCGCGCUGCAUUAGCUAGUUGGUAAGGUAACGGCUUACCAAGGCAACGAUGCAUAGCCGACCUGAGAGGGUGAUCGGCCACACUGGAACUGAGGCACGGUCCGGACUCCUACGGGAGGCAGCAGUCGGGAAUCUUCCGCAAUGGGCGAAAGCCUGACGGAGCAACGCCGCGUGAGUGAUGAAGGUCUUCGGAUCGUAAAACUCUGUUAUUAGGGAAGAACAUAUGUGUAAGUAACUGUGCACAUCUUGACGGUACCUAAUCAGAAAGCCACGGCUAACUACGUG
rnacentral:rRNA from 1 species